GACGAACGCUGGCGGCGUGCUUAACACAUGCAAGUCGAACGGAAAGGCCUGCUUUCCCUUGUGGAUUGCUGGUACUCGAGUGGCGAACGGGUGAGUAACACGUGAGUGAUCUGCCCCCAACUUGGGUAUAAGCCUGGGAAACUGUGUCUAAUUCCCGUUAGGACUGCAUGGUGGUGCCUGUGGUGGAAAACGAUUUUCUAGUGGUUGGGGAUGAGCUCGCGGCCUAUCAGCUUGUUGGUGUGGUAAUGGCCUACCAAGGCGGCGACGGGUAGCCGUCAUGGGAGGGUGGACGGCCACAUUGGAAAUGAGAUACGGACCAGAAUCCUACGGGAGGCAGCAGUGGGGAAUAUUGCACAAGGGGCGGAAGCGUGAUGCAGCGACGCCGGGUGGGGGAUGACGGCGUUCGGGUUGUACACUUCUUUGGACCGAGAGGAAGCCACAUGGUUGGAAGGGUGGUGACGGUAGUGGUAGAAGAAGCACCGGCUAACUACGUG
rnacentral:rRNA from 1 species